UUCAGAUAUGGAGAUUUGGUUCCGCUGAGUCCAUUUGGAAAAGUUGUGGGCGGUAUGUGCGCAAUGAUUGGUGUCUUGACAUUGGCACUUCCAGUUCCUAUUAUUGUAGGUUUU
rfam:Caenorhabditis elegans chromosome II